CAGGAAGUGGGGGAUUAGGCGGAGAUCCGGGUGUGAUUCGGAGCCUGAAGCUCCGAGAGCUAAGCGCAGCGGCUGGAAGGGGUUGCUGCGGAGCGGAGAUGUUCCGGAUCGAGGGCCUCGCGCCGAAGCUGGACCCUGAAGAGAUGAAGCGGAAGAUGCGCGAGGAUGUGAUUUCCUCCGUACGGAACUUCCUCAUCUACGUGGCCCUGCUGCGAGUCAGUGAGUGUCCUGAGCUGUGACCAUGAGACCAUUUCGUCGACACUGCCCACCCAUCUUCGUUCUACGCGCGGCUGUGGGGUCUUUAGGAGCUGACCUAAGCCGACUCCAUUUAUCUUGAAGAAAUUGGACAGUAUAUGAAGAUUGGACAUCAUAUGUGAACAUAUGAUAGAAGAACCUGGUUAUAAUUUCUUCUGCCUACAAAUGAAUAGGCUCAGAAAGGUGCAAGAGACUCUGAAUGGUCAAAAAUUCUACUUGUUAAGGGCUAAUUGGGCUCUGGUAACUGAUCCUCAUAGCUAAAAUAUAAAACUAUUGGGAAGUAUGAAAAGAUGUCUUGUGGUUAUAAUGUGCCCUUAUGCUGGUGAUAUUCAGUCUGUAUGUAAACAUUAUAAUUGUAAAUAAUGUCAAACUCCAUUCUAUCAAGUAUUGUAAAAGAAUUAUCUCUGAAAUGUCACUGUCUUGUCAGUCGUUUCUGUUUACAUUUUUACUUCUGUCCCAAGUAUGUUUGUGAUGAGUCCCUUGCAAAUAAUUACGUUUAAUGGGAGUUGGCCCACAACUUCAGUGACAUUUAAGUGCAAGACUAUUAAUCUAUAUUUUUAAUAAAAUGCCAGAAAAAAAAAAUUUUUUUGGUCCCAGUUUUUGCUGAAACCCAACAGUCAUUCAUGUGACAGCUUAUUAUAAGCUGCAUCAAGUUGUAUUCCUCUCAUUUUGGACUUGAGAAAUUGCUGAUCCUGAUCAAGUGGCAUUAUAGCUUACUGCCAGUCUUCAUGAAAGGCAGCAUUGCGACUGGUACUGAGUAUGUGUAAUACCAAAGGUGAAAAAUGAUGUGUUUUUUAGUAGAGGAGUUAUUCAUGUUAGUGGGCAGAAGCACAUAAUCCUCAGAAGAAGCAUAUAACCUUCCUCUGAGGUAGCACAUUUACCUCUUUUUAGCUAAUUUUGUCUAGAUAACAUGAUGAUAUUGUUGCUUCUUGGUUUAUUCUGCUUUAGGAAAUGCCCUCUGACUUCUCAAUAUAUUACUAUCAGAACUUAGGUUUCUUUUUUCCCCUUACGUCCACACACACAUUUCUUACCAUCUCUUCCAAUGUACAGUGUGUUGUACUGAGUGAUUUUGAUUAUAUCAAUACCAUUAGAACU